CCAAAGGCUCUUUUUAGAGCCACCCAAGUUCUCAAAAAAAGAGCUA
rfam:Fukomys damarensis contig161790, whole genome shotgun sequence.